rnacentral:sRNA from 1 species
UGCACGUCUGAAGCAGGCGAACGCGCGC